CCCUUUAUUCAGGAUGGGUUGCCUAAGUUUCAUUAAAAACUUCCCUUAAUUUUACCUGCAAACUGUUCUUUCACCAUGAAUCUCGUUGAUUAUUAUCACAGAAUUAAUUUAUAUACGGGUGCUCAAGAUUUUGUUCAGACCUUUGUUUAAAUUUCACCUUGAUAUGAGGACGGAAGAUUGUAUAGAUUUUUCAUUACUUUCUGAAUUCUUUUUAUUAUACCAAUGAUGCACCAAUUGAAGCAACUGUUUUUUCCCUAACAUUAUUUACGUGAGGCUUCCCUAAUAAUGUUUCGUCAACAUACUGACCCAAGUAUUGGAAUACUCUGGACAUUUUGGCCACUGCAGUAUUUUCCAGUGCACAUCAGAAUAUCCAUCACCGCCAAAUAUUGCGGUCAAGUUUUCCCUAUAAGAAACUUCAAGUGUUUAAAAUAUUAUUGCCUAGUUUCUGAAAUAUGACCAGGUUUGUUCGGGCGGUCUAUUUUAUCGACUUUAAAAUCAUAUUCCAAUGAAACUAGCUGAGCUAGAGUUUUCAAACCUGGACAGUGGUGUGCGCUCAAGUUUCCCCUACAAGAAACUUCAAGAGUUUUCGAAAUAUUUUUGACUAAUUUUUGAGUUAUGACCAGGUUUGUUCAGGCGGUCUAAGUUAUCGGCGUAAAAAUAAUUAAAUUAAUUGAUAGGGUGACUUUAAAAUCCGUUUCCAAUGAAACUAGCUGAGCUAGAGUUUCCAAACCUGGACAGUGGUGUGCGCUCAAGUUUCCCCUACAAGAAACUUCAAAAGUUUUCAAAAUAUUUUUGACCAGUUUUUGAGAUAUGUCCAGGUUUGUUCGGGCGGUCUAUGAUAGCCGCGUAAAAAUAAUUAAAUUAAUUGAUAGGGUGACUUUAAAAUCCGUUUCCAAUGAAACUAGCUGAGCUAGAGGUUCCAAACCUGGACAGUGGUGUGCGCUCAAGUUUCCCCUACAAGAAACUUCAAGAGUUUUCGAAAUAUUUUUGACUAAUUUUUGAGUUAUGACCAGGUUUGUUUGGGCGGUCUAAGUUAUCGGCGUAAAAAUAAUUAAAUUAAUUUAUAAGGUGACUUUAAAAUCCGUUUCCAAUAAAACUAGCUGAGCUAGGGUUUCCAAACCUGGACAGUGGUGUGCGCUCAAGUUUCCCCUACAAGAAACUUCAAAAGUUUUCAAGAUAUUUUUGACCAGUUUUUGAGAUAUGACCAGGUUUGUUUGGGCGGUCUAAGAUAUCG